rnacentral:rRNA from 1 species
AACGCGAAGAACCUUACCUACCCUUGACAUCUAUAGAAGACUGCAGAGAUGCGGUUGUGCCGAAAGGAACUAUAAGACAGGUGCUGCAUGGCUGUCGUCAGCUCGUGUUGUGAGAUGUUGGGUUAAGUCCCGUAACGAGCGCAACCCUUAUCCUUAGUUGCCAGCGCGUAAAGGCGGGGACUCUAAGGAGACUGCCGGUGAUGAACCGGAGGAAGGCGGGGACGACGUCAAGUCAUCAUGGCCUUUAUGGGUAGGGCUACACACGUGCUACAAUGGACAGUACAAAGGGCAGCAAGACCGCGAGGUUUAGCCAAUCCCAAAAAGCUGUUCGUAGUCCGGAUUGAAGUCUGCAACUCGACUUCAUGAAGUCGGAAUCGCUAGUAAUCGCGAAUCAGAAUGUCGCGGUGAAUACGUUCCCGGGCCUUGUACACACCGAGACGAC